rnacentral:lncRNA from 1 species
AUUAUUUUUAGCUAAACUUUAAUUUUUCUAACUGGCUUUAGCGUAUUUUUACUUAAUCAUCUUACUAUUGAAAAAGAGGCACAUAAUUAUUAUAUAAUUUUAUUUUUAUUUACUAUAAGAAUAUAUCGUUAACACAACAACAAAAUAAUACUUUUGUGAACUACAAGAAUAUGCAAUAUAAUAUUUUAUCAUUUUGUAUUCUGCAUGUCGUCACCAUGAAGUUUCAAAAACAAAUCACUUUGCUCUAUUUAAGUAUAUUUUAGGCUAAAUUAUAUAAAAUUCCCUUGUCAAAACUUGAUUUUUCACUUUUCUCCUAUCAUUUAAAAACCUACACUUUGCCCCCUUAUAAAAUAAAAAAUAUUCACUUUGUCCCCUGCCGUUAGCAAUCCGUUAGGGUUCCGUUUAUAAAAUAUUAUUAUAUAGUUUUUUAUGCCAAAAAUGUCCUCAACCUUUUCUCCUGUGAACAUGGUGAGGAGCAAACUGAUGAGGGGCAAAAUGGUCAUUUUAUCAUCACAGUUCACACUGUACCCCCUGUAAAUAUUUUUUAUUUUACAAGGAGGCAAAAUGUAGUUUUUAAAUGACAAGGGGAGAAUGUGAAAAAUUAGAUUUUGACAGGAAGGUUUUUUGUAAUUUAUAUUUUAAUUAAAAUUUCUGGAUGGAUAAAGAGACAACUUACCUCUCUCUUACAUAACCAGACACUUGUAGAGACUUCUAGUCUAAAUAUAAGAAAAAACUUUGAAUACCCCAAUGUGGUUUAGUGAAUUCCCAUUUAGUACUUUUUAGAGUAUAGCAAUAGCAUUGUUCAAGAAGAUAUCAGUGUUUGUUUGUACCUAUUGCAAAAUAUAGUGCUAAUUGAUAAAAUUUCAUGUAAAAUAGACUUUUUACAGCUACUUUUCCUAAAUGCGAAAGCAGAGUUCCAAAUUUUAGCUUUUGGCUAUGCAAACAGACAAGGAUGAAUUUGAAUAUUUAUUAAGGGGCAAAUAGGUAUUUUCCAAUUAAUAACUUUAGUGACUAACAGAUUCACUGCACAAGCAAAACUGGGAAGCACCAGUUGUAGAUUUAUUUUUUCAUGUCCCACAAGAAGCAGAAGCAAUUUGAAUUUAAACUCCCAAAUACUCUACUACGAGCUGACUCUAAUUCCAGCCAAAGCAGAAACUAAGUAAAACAGACUUUUGAAAUCUUUAUUCUAACUUACCGUCGCCGAAGUAAAAGCUUCAAGUUUCUCCAUUUCAAAACACUCUACUUGAUAUAACUGUAGUUGAAUCAAAAGUGGAAGAGGGGGCCAAAAAGCCACUCAGUUUAAUCAGUAGAUGUAGCUAACUAAAUUUGAAAGUCUUAUUAACUUAAUGUGAGUCAUUUUCCAUCAAAUAAAAGUUAAUAGGAAGGUCAUAAUGAGAAUGUUAACCCUUGCAUUUAAUUUUCCCUCUUCGAGAAAAAGAUCACAAACAAACCGGCGGCUGAAACUACGCUUGAAACAAAUACAUAGAAAUGAGGAAAUACAAUAGGUAUCAUAAUCUGUACAUAAUCUUCAAGAAUUCNUAUUUUAAUUUUGAAAUUUAAAAUUUGAUAUUUUAUAUUUAUUAAAUUUAAAUUUGAUCUUAAAUUUAAAGUUUGAAAUUUAAAAAUUUAAAUUUAAAUAUAAUAAAAGGAUAAUAUGAUUAUUUUUUAUUUAUAAAAACCUACUAUUUUUCUUAUUCUAUCGUACCUAACCAAAUGUUAUUUUUUUUAAUCCCAAGAAUAAGCCAAUUUUCAUCCAAACGCAAAAUUGAUCUAAUCCCCCGCGUAUACCUCAAUUUAUACCUAUCCCUGGAAUAGACACUUUUUGCUUAUCUCCGAACCAAACGAUACCUUAGUAACUAACAGAUUCACUGCACAAGCAAAACUGGGAAGCACUAGUUGUAGAUUUAUUUUUUCAUGUCCCACAAGAAGCAGAAGCAAUUUGAAUUUAAACUCCCAAAUACUCUACUACGAGCUGACUCUAAUUCCAGCCAAAGCAGAAACUAAGUCAAACAAACUUUUGAAAUCUUUAUUCUAACUUACCAUCGCCGAAGUAAAAGUUUCAAGUUUCUCCAUUUCAAAACACUCUACUUGAUAUAACUGUAGUUGAACCAAAAAGCCACUCAGUUUAAUCAGUAGAUGUAGCUAACUAAAUUUGAAAGUCUUAUUAACUUAAUGUGAGUCAUUUUCCAUCAAAUAAAAGUUAAUAGGAAGGUCAUAAUGAGAAUGUUAACCCUUGCAUUUAAUUUUCCCUCUUCGAGAAAAAGAUCACAAACAAACCGGCCGCUGAAACUACGCUUGAAACAAAUACAUAGAAAUGAGGAAAUACAAUAGGUAUCAUAAUCUGUACAUAAUCUUCAAGAAUUCACAAACCAUAAUUGUCAGCACAGAAGGUAGUUUUGCAUUAUAGUGUAAAUUUAAAUUUAACAGAAACAUUUUGGUUACUCUCAGUCAAGUAACGAUUACAUGAUCCAUGAUCCGACCAAUUUGCACACUACAACCUGAAUACUGUUUACUAGCUGAAAUAUGAAAAGAAUACAAUAGAAUAUCUAAACUAAAACAACUGCACCAAGAAGCAACAAUGCUUUCGUUUUCUCCAUCUUUCAAGCUGUAAAAGGCAUAUAGGAAAACAUAACACUUGCCAAAGAAAAAAUAAUAUUUGAUAGUUGGAAUCCUUUGACAGCGACGUCAAAUAGAAAGAAACUGGUAAAUUCUUUGUUGCAUCCAUCUUUCAGAUUAGAUGAGAUUAGGCUAAUUAUCCAAUCAGUGAAGCCCAAACAAGCUUCUCGCAACUGCGCGCGAACCUUUCCUCCGACCCCUAGUUGUGCUUCUGCUGCUUCUCAGAGGAGUCAGAUAGAAGCGCAGCAGUCCAUUGUCUAAGUUCCCAGGAGAGGUGUAAUGAACGCUCCGGCUUCUACCAAACUUAUGAUCCCACUUCUUUCUCCAAUCAGGCCCGUGAUUGUUAACACCCCCAAUAGAAGAAUUCAUUCUCCGGUGCACACGCUGGUUUGCUCUACCAUAGCUGAAGCCAUUGCCGUUAAUGUCAGUCCUUUUCUCCUUUCGAGUGUCCUUCCAAGAUUCAGAUAGAGACCUGUCCAAUACAUGUUCACCUUUCUUUACGCAAUCCCUGAUAGGGCUAGUUAUACUUCGAUCCCACACCCUGCUCCAUCUUCGUGAUUUCUUCCUAAUAAUACCUGGAACGGCUAUCUCUCGAUGGAGUUCAUUAACACUACUCUCUUUGAAAAGGCGCCUCAAACUACUAUCAUUUGAUGUCAAGGCUCUCUCGCUAGUUAAAAUCUUUUCAUUGGCGCUACCAUUAUCAGCAUUUUCAGGGUUUUCGAGCACCGGUUUCUGUGUAAUGCUUCUUUGUAGUCGUUCUUCGAGGCAGGGAAAGGAGCAAGCCAGUGCCUUGCUCACCGUCGAACCAUCCCAUGAAUGCCUGGGAAGAUCACAUGAAACCUUGCUCGACUCAUGACACGCCGUCUGAUCACAAAAAUACCGAGAGCUGCGGUUUCUCUCUAACUUCUUAGUUUCCACUACAUUUCUUUUGGAAUCAUCUCUCGUCCCCAACCUUAAACUUUUCUUCGACACCAACGAACUCAACCAAAGUGAAAUCCCUUUUCGAUUCAAGUUCCGUUCAUCCGAACCAUAGAUUUUCUCGUCAGCAUGAGCAUCACUCCCGCCUGCUCGAUCAGAGUUCGAUUGAAGCCGUACAGCUUCAUCUUUGGCACAGCUCAAAACACGAGACUCACGCCGACCAUCGAAAGAUCCACCAUUAGUAGGGUUAGGGUUUGAACCCUCUAGGUUGUCAUCCAAUUGGAACAAUAAAAGGAGAGUCUUUCUCGAUCUAACUUCGCAAGGCUGCUUCUUUGUAUCAGGGGAGGCAACAGAGGCCUCUACUAUCUCACCCUGCGACCUUCUCGCGGCGCUCGUGCUCGACUCGGCAGAGCCAAUGCUAGAAGAUAACCUCUCAAGCAAACAAGAAGAGCAAAAACCAGUGAAAAACUGAUAUGGGUGCUUCCCACACCGCGCAAAAUCGCCGCUUUCUCGAUCCAUCUUAGCUUAAAAGAUCAAAGGAAGCUAAAAUCAUUGCACAAUUUCCCUUUUUUAAAGAAAUAUUCAGCAUUGAAACCCCAGUUGAUAAAAUUUACAUGCUUUAAGCCACGUAAUAACACAAAGAUCACACUAACACACUAAAAAGUAGACAUUUUUAUGCUUUGAUGAGCUCAACUGCAACAAAAUCAACUCAAAUUAAAACUCUCAGAUGAUCAAAUCCGAGAAAUACCUGAUUAGCACAGUUUCUUUAACGAUUUGAAACAGGGGAGACGAAUUAAGCAACAAAAGAUCGAAUUAAACUACGCCAAACGAAUCAAAAAGAAAAAAAAUUACAGAUUCGGAAGCGGAAAAAGAGGAAGCAGAGAAAACGAACUAAAAUCGCCGAAUCCGAUGGAUUCUCUCCCGAAUUCGAUGCUCCAAAAUCCCCAAUUUGUAAGAAGAACUUCGAACCCUAAAAACUUUUAUUAAGGGCUCGCAUCGAUCGAAGGAAUUAAAAAAAAAGGAAAAACCCUAAAUUAAACCCCGCGCGUUGAAUGGGAGGAGAAACAGUUGAUCACUAGAUUACGAAAAUACCCUUCGUAAGUCUGUAGAAUGUCCAAAAUACCCCUAAAGAGAAAGCAAUGUUUUCUAAUUCUUUAUUUAUUUUUAUUUAAGGUCUCUUCCAGUUAAAAAAUUUUAAUAAAAAUACUUAAUUUUAUUUUUUAUCUAAAUUUUAAAAUUUUAUUUCUCUUUUCUAAAAUAUUCUAAAUACUUUUUGAGUAAUCUAAAACCAUAAUGCAUUUUAUAUACAUUAUAUAUAUCAAAUUCAAAAAAAUAUAUACUAGAAAGAAUAGAAAACUCCUGAAAUCUAUUAAAAGAUGUUCGACAUAAACUUUNAUUAUAAUUUUUUUUUGCAUAAUAAUAAAUUGUUAUAAAUUUUAUAUACAUUAUAUAUAUCAAAUUCAAAAAAAUAUAUACUAGAAAGAAUAGAAAACUCCUGAAAUCUAUUAAAAGAUGUUCGACAUAAACUUUAAAAAAUAAAAAAUAAAAAUGUGUUGUUUGACAUGGUUAUUUUCUUUUUUUAAAACAAUAAUUCUAUAUGAUUUCAUAUAAUGCAAAGAUCUAAUCUUUUAUUAUUAUUAUUUCUUAACUUUGUAAUGCACUCUUGUAAAACGAAAAAAUUUCUUUCAUAAAAUUUUUCGUAUAAAAAAAUUAAUUCCAAAAUUUUUUUUAAUCAUUUUUUUUUGAGGGAAAACACGCCCGUAGGUGAAUUUAUUUAUCAAACGGGAGGUACAACUUGAGAAAAAUCAUCUACCGAGGACCAAAAAGAUAGUUUGUUGCUAGUGAGCCCCCAGUUGGCCAAUCGAUCUGUAACUACACCAUUUUAAGAGAAUCUUGAAGACCAUCCAUAGCUAAAUUGAUUGGAACUUUCAAAAAAAGUUCCAAGAUCCGUGAUUCUUGUUCGAGCUUCAACUGUUAGCGAAUCUGAAUGAUAGCUCCUACGGUGCAGGGCUUUAAUGAUGGAGGCAGAAUCUGAGUAGAUAUGAAAAAUUUCUCCCGGAUACCUUUGCAACAAAAGAUUUGUCGCUGGGGAAAUUGCUCCAAUUUUCGCAGAGCAAGCGUCAUGGACAUCCUUUAGUACAUCGGAUAUGCACAUAAUGAUUCCAUGCUGAUUGGCGAUCAGGCAUCCUACUCCACCUAUAGUGCCACCUUUCCAACUCCCAUCCACCCAUACAUGUAAGGAAAAUGUCGCAGGUUCUUAAAUCAGAGUUGGGUCCUGAAUGCUAAUCCUCAUCAUGUUCUUUUUAGAAUAUAAGAUCGUCCAACUGCGAGCCCGUGAAAUGAUGGUAGUAAUACUGAAAAUUUUUCCUUCAAAAAUCGUCUCAUUCCUUUCUUUCCAUAAGCUCCAUAACAAAUGAACACAAAAAGCCCUAUGGGUCGUCAUGGCUUUAUUAGUUAGGAUAAAGAAAUUCUAAAAGGACAGAGGCCUAUCCGCAUUAUCAAUUAUAAGGCCUAUACUGGAUGCGAACCAGACACGUCGUACGUAUUUGCUCACAAUUAAAGAAUAAAUGUACCAACGUCUCAGACUCUUGUAGGCAAAGCGGGCAAAGUCUAUUAAAGUUAGGUAGUCUCGAGGCUAGUGCUACCUAACUUUAAUCUACUUCUUCCUUUCUUAUUAUUUUAUAGAAAAAGUAUACUUUACAAAUACAAAAGCUACAACAAUGCUAAAUAAGGCGUAAAAAUUUUCAUGAGAAAAUAGAAAUUAGAGGCUUUAUUAAAUUAAAAUUACGUAAAAUAAAAAACUUACAAUUUUUUUUACAAGAAUAAACUUCAAAUACCACUCCAAUAGUUUUGUACUUUCUCAUUUUAAUAUCCUAUAUUUUAAAGUGUAUCAAUUUAAAUACCAUGUGGUUUCAUUUUUCUCUUUUCGUCAGUCCCUUCACUAAUUUUUAUUAAAUUAUAUACAAAAAAUUUCAGAUAACCCACCUAUAAUUUAUCGAAUAUUCACUUUAGUAUCCUUCAGUUUUAACAAUGUCACUGAUUUAACGAAAAAAAUAAUAGAGAAAAUAACAAAAAGAAAUAAAAAUAAAACUAUAAAGUGUAAAAGUGAUACAUUUUAAAUCAUAGGAUACUAAAAUAAAAAUGUGCAAAACUUGGGUAUUUGAAGUUUUUUAUUUUUCAAAAUACUUACAUGGAAAAGGAGGGUAAUUUAGUCAUUAUAGUCGAAAUAGUUGGAGGGGUAUUUUCGGAAAAUCUGGGGCGUUGGAUUAGAGCGGGCGAUUAUUAAAUGACACGUGUCGUAACGCGAAGAGUCGUCUAGGGAGCCGUUACAAAGUCCUGUGGUUGGUCGGGCCAAUAAAUUUUAUGACGAAAAUGCCCUUGUCAUUGAAUGAUGUUAUAAACUACUAAUUUUACAGUUUUACCAUUGACCGAGAUUAAUGCAACCUAAUCAUUAGUUAAAUAAUUUAUAACCUCUAUUAAAGAGUUGACUAUAUUCAGAAGUAAAUAACAAAAAUAUCUCUAUUAAUAAUUAUUUUUUAUUUGUCAAAUUACAUCGAAUUUGUAGGAUUUGAAAUUGAGAGCAACAAUAAUCAGACAAAUUUUCGGACUCAAAUUUAGCCAAACGAAAGUUAUAAGAUUUUUUUUUUUUUUUUUUGAGAGAGAGAGGUAGGUUCAUUCAUUUUUCUAAAAAUUAGCUCAGUUUAAAAUGUAAAAAAAAUAAUUAGAUUUAAAAUUUAGAAUCUCGAGUACCAAUUAUUAAGUUCUUAGCUAAAUGCGCUAGGUACGGUCAGUUAUAAGAUUUAGAAUGCUAGAAUAAGAAAUUAGAUCUGUACCAAAAUUCAAAUUUGUCCACAAUGCUACAUCUUGAGUAUUAAUUUGAAGUUGAAAUUUUAAAAUUUUAUAGAAAUUCGUAUAUUCCAUCUAUUUCACUUUAUCGUUUAAGUCUUGCUAACUAACUAUGCAAAUAAACAUACCUCAAAAUUGUUGUUUGUUUAUAAUGACUCGAAUAUCAAAAUUUGAACUCAAAGAGACCUUUUUAUUUAUUUAUCCUUUUUUUUCUGCCUAUGAAUUCUUUUUUAAUAAAAUAGAUUAUUCUUUCCACUUAAUUAAUAUUCUAUUUCAGUUCUUACUUCUGUGGCUAGAUCGUAAUUUUUCUUUUAGUUCAAAAAUUACAAAUUUUGGCCUAAAAAUAUUCCGCACUUUUGUCAUGUUUCAAUAAUUUCUUAUACAUGAAGGAUUCAAACUGCAUAUAAAUAACGGUACUAUAGAAUUAAACUGCAUAUGAAUGAACAUAAAUGCGUGCAUUAUUGUCUCGAUACAUGAAACUGGGUUUAUUAGCAUUCCAAAUUAAAGUAUUAAUAAGUUUAGGCUUAUAAGUAAGUUUUUUUUUUAAAAAAAAAAAAUCAAUUGUAAUUUGUAAAUGUAGAGGAGCAUGGUAGUGAAAUGUUAAAUAAAACAAAGGGUGAAAUGGUCACUGCGUUGACAACAUGAUGAGAGAUGGAGAAAAAGAAAACUUGUGAUUGAUGGGUAAGGACAAGACAACAGGUGUGUACCAAAAAAAAGCCCACCUGAUCAUGUCCACCUAACACAAAUAAAUGAACAAAUCUCCAAAGUCAAACUAAGGAGAGGAAAUCCAAAAAAUAAAAAAAUAAAAGGAGACAGUGACACCACAUUUUACGAAAAAAAAAAAAAAAACGUAAUUUUCUCGGAUACUAAUUAUUAAAAUUAAUAUUUAUAUUUAAUUAUGUAACUUAGGAUGCAAAAUAAAAUAAAAAAAUUAUGAAAAAAAAUAUUAGGAGAGGAAGAUGAUAACUAAAUUAAUAUUUUAUUAAUAAAAUGUAUUUAAUUACACUUGGUCGACACACUCGGCCUUAUACAAUUAAUCAUGUCUACUGUAGCUUACUUAUCUAAUUAGCUAAUGAAUAACUAUAUAUAGCUGUUAAGUCAUAACAGAUAAUAAAUCCAACUUUUAUUUUGAAUAAUUAAAAAUCCUGCUCUAAUGAUAUAAACUUUUAAAUAUAAUCACUCAAUGUAUAAUUUAGAUAUACUUUAUCUCUAACUAAAUUUUUAAAUUAAAUUUGAAUUAUUAUUCUAACAAGAACAGUAUAUUUUAUUCAUUUUUUAUUUUUUUUGUGUUGAUGUUUGUGAGGUUGAUAACUUUUGUUAGUUUAGAUGAGUAGUUUGAGAUCUAUUCUCAUAUUUUUCUCUUCUCCUGCAUUAUUAAAUUUGGAGAGAGUCUCUUAUUAUUUCUCUAUUGUUAGGUUUACUUGGAGUUUUACUUAAUUUCUUUACAACUAUCAUUAGGGCCUACAUGAAAUCUCCUCCACUCUCUCUUCUAUUAUAAUUAAGCUUUACUUUUAAUAAAAUAUUUAAUUUUCAACCUUUUAAGUUAGAUGCUUAAUAUUAAUUAAAAAUUUUAAAAUAAUUUUACUUUGUCUGGACAAAAAAAUAAUUAUGUAUGCCCUAUGCAUUGUUACAUGGACAAAAAUUUGGUGGGCAUCAUCCCCAAACAAUUUGUUUGGGGACAAUGCCGAUGGGUGCCGUGUGGUGUGCGGCGCCCAUCGCGACCCUCGGAAACAAAAAAAAAAAAAAAAAAUUGUGGGCUCCGAUUUUUUAGAGAGAGAGAGAGAGAAAGAAGCCGGUGGUGGAAAGUGGGUGGUAGCGAUGGGCAGCUGUACACCACGCGGCACCCAUCGGCUCUGUCCCCAAACAAGUUGUUUGGGGAUGGAUGCCCACCAAAUUUUUUUCCUCAUUAUAUCCAUGAAUUAUCUUGUAUUAAUGGCAUAUUUUAAUCUUAUCAUCAAUUAAGCUGGGGUUUUUAGUUUUUCCUAUCUUAAAUAUUAGUUAAUUAUAUAUGAAAAAAAGUAUAAGAUUCAGCUCUUUGCCUAUAUUAAAAAUGGCUAACUUAAGAUUGAGAGAGAGUGGAGAACUAACAGAAAUAUAUCACAAGUGCUCAAGCUCAAAGAAUCACAUUCAUAAGUCAUAAAUCUAUCUAUUUAUAGAUAUUAUACGAAAACAUAGUCGUUACACUGUAUUUUCAGAAACUGGACGUGAAACCCAUUUUUAGACGCUAGAAUGGGCUUCUCAGAACCAGAUAUAUACGUACAUUCGAGUCCUUAAUCUCAACUCCACUCUUAAUGUCACUGCUCUUGAAUCUUCUUCUAUCCUCACCAUCUUCUUCUAUCCUCACCAUGUGGCCUCAAACUUGAGUUCUUCAAGAUACAACUAAUAAGAUCUUACUCAACUAAAACAUUUAAUAUCAAAAUCAUCAUUAUUUACUGACUGUCCUUAGAGCAAGUGGCAAAGGAUUGGUGGUUGGUACCUGAGACCCAAGUUCGAAUCUUAGUUUAUUUACAUUCCUAGCUAAGUUUAUUUCUAAAUGAAAUAAACGAAACAGGUAGCGUGCUACCUAUCUCUCAAAAAAAAAAAUCAUCAUUAUUUGUAAUCAUCAAAAUAGGGCAAAAAUUUUAUGGACACAGUGUCCAUAAAAAGAAAUUUGGGGAUGCCUCCUAUGGGUGCCGGAUGGCACCUGCCUCAUGAGGGGAGCAGUAACUCCCCUAUGGAUGGAGGAAUUCUACACUAUCACACUUGCAUCACAUCAUCAUUAACAAGACAAUCACAUUUAUUCUUUUCAAAUAAAAGUACAAUAAUUUUUUUUUUUCAAUCAUAAUGAGAUAUAUACCCUUAAAAAAAUAUUUAAUUAAUUUAUUAUGUUACGUCACUAAUAUGGACGUUGCAUUUUAGAAUUUUUCUUUUGGACGAGAGGAGCAGUAACUCCUAUGGGCGCCGCAUGGCACCUGCCUCAUAAGGGGAGCAGUAAUUUGGGAAUGCAUCCUAUGGGCGCCGCAUGGCACGUGCCUCAUGAGGGGAGCAGCUUUACUUUUUUUGGGUGCACAUGGUGCACUAUAUUUUGUUUUAAUUUUUUUAUUUUUAUAUUAUAAUUUAAUGUAGUUAUUAUAUAUUAUGAUAUUUUAAAAAAUAUAUAUAAAAAAUUUGGAGUUUAGGGUUUAAAAUUAAUUUUAAAUAUAUAUUUAAAAUAUCAUAAAAUAUAUCUCUAUUAUUUUAUUAAAUUAUAAUUAAAAAAAUAAAAAUAAAAUUUAAACCAAAAGAUGGUGCACCGGGCGCACCGAAAUAAACCCCACUGUUCUCCCAAAAAGCAAAGUAGCGGGGGGCGACACGGCGCCCAUCCGGAGUAUCUGGAUGCCACGCGGCACUCAUCCAAGGCAUCCUCAAAUUAAAUUUUAGGGCUUUUUUUGCAAAUAGCCCCCUGAGCAAUUUUUAUUUUAAAAGUAGCCCUACCAAAAUUAAAAUUGCAAAAAUGGCCCUGUCUCUGCCACGCAGGCGCCAAGUCAGCACCACCCGGGCAGGGCUGAGGCCAGGGUAUUAAGUUGAACACGGUGAAUCAUUCACCGUAUUUAGACACAGUGGAUGAUUCAUCGUGUUUUUUACGUAUUUUUUGUAUAUUGAAAAGUGAAAUAAGGAGUAGGGAUGUCAAUAGGUAUGGAUAUUCAAAAUAUUAUCCGAAUCCAAACCCGAAUAAAUUAUAUAUAUAUAUACGUAAUUUAUUUUUGUUUAUUUAUACAAUAUAUAAAAUAUUUAAUAAUUUUUAUUCCUUAGAUCUUCAUCCAACGGUAUAGAUUUUUAAAACCCGCUGGGUUGGAUGAAGAUCUAAGGAAUAAAAAUUAUUAAAUAUUUUAUAUAUUGUAUAAAUAAAUAAAAAUAAAUUAUAUAUAUAUAUAUAUAUAUAAUUUAUUCGGGUUUGAAUUCGGAUAAUAUUUCGGAUAUCCAUACCUACUGACAUCCCUACUCCUUAUUCCACUUUUCAAUGUACAAAAAAUAUGCAACAAAGAAUACGUACUAAACACGGUGAGCCAUUCACCGUGUUUGAACACGGUGAAUGGUUCACCGUGUUCAACUUAACACACGGUCCAGUUCUGCCCGCGUGGCGCUGACGUGGCGCCUGCGUGGCAGGCCCAGAGCCAUUUUUGCAAAUUAAAUUUUGACAGAGCUAUUUUUAAAAUAAAAAUUUGUCAGAGAUCUAAAUAUAAAAAAAACCCCUAAAUUUUAUGGACACUGUGUCCAUAAAAUUUUUGCCCAUCAAAAUAUAAUGGUCUAUUGAGGCCACUAGGCCAACAAUUAAAACUUGGCCAUUUGCCCAGCCAAAAAGUGAGGGUAAUGGGUACAUUGUGCACUAUUUCCCCAACUUUCAGCUAGGUUUCUUUUUGGUCCUUGGACUUUCAAUUUCGAUGUUAAACUCCUAAACUUUUUAAUCCCUAUGCAUAUUUACUGUGCCUACACCUGGUGCAUCUAAAAAUAGACUUUUUUACAAAAUAAUCCUCCAAAAUUUUAUAAUUUGCAAAAUAAUCCUGCCAAUUUUAUUUUUGGCAAUCGUUCACCCUACCUUUUAAAGGCGGUGAAUCGUUUACUGCAUUCAUUAAGGCGGUUAAUAAUUCACCGUCUUUAUUAGAAUUUAUAUAAGAAAUAGGAAAAAGUGAGAUUAUUAUACAUGGAUUAUUAGAAUUUUUAUUUGAUUGUUAGGAUUGUAUAGAUAUUUUAUUAGAAUUUUCAGAUUGUUAAAAUUAUAUGUGAUUUGUUGAAAUUUUUAUGUGGUUGUUAAAAUUAUAUAUAAGAUAUAAAAAGAAACACUAAAUAAGCUAGAGACGGUGAAUGAUUCACUAUUUUUGUGAAAAAAUUAGGAAGGCGGUGAAUCGUUAACCGUCUUUAUGUAGGCGGUGAAUCGCUCAUCAUCUAGAAAAUUCCAACGUGCCUCGUACAUGGCAAACGAAGGGUUAGUUUGCCAAAAAAAUUUUUCAUAGGAUUAGUUACCUAAUUAGAAAAUUUUAUAGGAUUGUUUUGAAAAAAAAGUCCUCUAAAAAUUCAUAUAUUAUUACUAGCAUCAGUUAUAAUAGGCUUAAUGGUUGGUACCUGAAGUUUCAUAUUGAAAGCCUUGUUCCUUCACAUUUUUAGUUCAGUUGAUUUCUAAAAAAAAUAAAUGAAACAGAUAGCAUAUUAUCUAUCUCUCUAAAAAAAUAAAAUCAUAUACUAUGCAUUUAUCUACAUUUUUCUGUUUUUAAAAGUUUGGACAGUUAAUUGAAAGCAUUAAUUGAAGAAAGGAUGGACAGAAUCUGCGGUGCAAGUAGUUUUUUAAUCUCCAAAAUUAAGGACUGGAGUGAAAUAUUAUAAAAAAUUUUAAGGACUAAAACGGAAGUUUGUUAAAAGUGUAGGAGCCUAAACAUCCAAAUCAAAAGUUCGGGGAUCAAAAUAAAACUUGAGUUGAAGUUCAAUGACGGGUUGCGCAAGAGUAUAUAACUACUAUAAUCUAUGGCUGCGUUUGGUUCAGGUAUAAGUAAGAACUGCUUGUUUCAGAGAUAGGUACAAGUUUAGGUAUAAGCAGGAACUAGACCAAUUUUGCGUUUGGAUGAAAAUUGAGUUGUUUCUACGAAUAAGGUAAAUAGCGUUUGGAUAGUUAAAUUGGAACAAGAGAAAUAAAAGUUAUAAUCUGAAAUUAAAAUUAUAUUAUCUAAUUAAUUAACAUCAAAAUAUUACUUAAAAAUAAAUAAUAAAUAAAUUAUUAAUAAAUAAUUAUAAAUAAUAAUAAUUAUUAUUAUUAAUUAUUAAUUAUUAUUAUUAUUAAUUAUUUAUAAUUAUUUAUAAGUAAUAAAUUAAUUAAUUAUUAAUUAAUUAUUAAUAAUUAUUAAUAAUUAUUUAUAAGUAAUAAAUUAAUUAAUAAUAAUUAUCUAAUUAUUAAUAAUUAAUUAUAAAUCAUUAUUAAUAAAUAAUAAUAAUUAUUUAAUUAUUAAUUAUUAAUAAUAAAUUACUAAUAAUAUCGAUUAUCUAAUUAAUAAGAAUAAUUAUUUUAUUUUAUUAUUAAUUAAUAAUUAAAUAUAAAUAUUAAUAAUUAAUUAUAAGUAAUAAAUUAAUUAAUAAUAAUUAUCUAAUUAUUAAUAAUUAAUUAUAAAUAAUAAAUUAAUAAUAAUAUCGAUUAUCUAUUUCUUAAGAAUAAUAAUUAUUAAUAAUUAUUAUUUAAUUAAUAAUUAUUAAUAAAUAAUAAUUAUUAAAUUAAUAAUUAUUAUUAUCUAAUUAUAAAUAAUUAAUUAUAAUUAAUUAUUUGUUUAUUUAUUUUAUUAUUUAAGCAAUAGAUAAUAAUUCAAAUAUAUUAAUUAGAUUAAUUAAUAAUUUACUAUCAUUAAAAUUUAAAUUUAGAUUUAAUUAACCUUGUUCUUAUUCGGGAACAAGCUUGUUCCAGAAAAAAGAUGGAACAGCAGUUCCAGCCAGUUCCAGUCUUAUACCAGCUAGUUCCAGAAACCCGGGAACUAUUGUUCUCGGGUACCAAGCGCUGCGUUUGGAAACAAAGGGGGGAACAAGAGCUUAUUCUCCCCCUUGUUCCCGAACCAAACGCUACCUAUGAGUAUAUAUCUUUUUAUGCUCAUAAACUUUCGGCCGUUGGAUAAAGGAAUGUGCAGUUAGAAUAAUAGUGGUCCUCUAGUGUUGAGUUGGGUGGUUCGUUGAAUAGUAUGAUCUAACGAGUGAAAAUAGUCAAAGUGGCAGAUCUAUGGCCAAAAAUUUAUGAGUGUGAAGGGGACUAUACUUAUAAGAGUAUAGUAGCCGGACUCGAUUGCGCAAUUUACCCAAUGAAACAAUCAAACAAGAUGGAUUUGCAUUUCCAUUUAUAUGGGCUGAAAAUUCGAUGGAGACAGCCCAUGGAGUAUACCCAUGAUAGUUUCUUUAAUCUUUUCUCCCAAGAGGAGUUAUUUGGGCCAAGUUAAUGGAAGUUUGGAGUGCACACAAUAAUCUUAUAAUUAGAAAACGCGGUAUCAUAAACUACCAUUGAUAAGUCAACUUUGUUGCAACAAUUAGAGGCUGUUUGGUUGCAUGCUGUUGCAACUGCACUGCAGUUGUAACUAUAUAUAAAUACAAAUUUGGUGUUUGAUUUAAUGUAUUUAACUCCAAGUGCUGCGGUAGGAACUGCAGGAGGAAGUCCAAUUGCAUCAAUUGGAACUAUGCCCAAAUUGGCCACAGUUCCAACUGCAACAGCUGAAAAAAGUAACUUUAAACAAAAGGUAAACUUAUCUCCUUAAUUAUUUUUUAAAUAAAAAUUAUUUUUUUUAAAAUCGGAAGUAAUCUCACCAUAUAUAAUGGUAAAAUUUUAAAAAUCAUUUCUCAACUGAAUGCAACCAAAUAAAUUAUUUCUAGUUGUAACACUUUCUACUAUAUCCAACUAAACAAAAUGCAUGUAGUUGCAACUGCACUCAUCUUCAAAUAUAUUGCAUUUAUAACUACAUCUAAUCAAACAGCCCCUUAGUAAGAAUCAUUGUUCUAAAGUAGUGGCUUUUAUAGAGUCUAUUUUUGAGGUUAGGAAUUCGACUCAGAAAAAUACUCCCCCCAAAAAAAGACGCAAUGGUUAGAAACUAAAAUUAGAGUAAUGCUAUCUAUAUGUUUAAAGGUGGAUAUAUGUCUCAUAUUACAUAUUUAUAUUGCAGCCAAAGGUCAAUUUUGUUGCACUAGUUUUUUUCACAACCAUAUUUUUUUAAUACUAAAAAUUCAAAAGGGUUGUCCACAUUUUAGUAUACAUAUAGCAUUUUUCUUAAAGUAAAGCUGUGGCUUAAUAUUUGAUUAUUAAUGUUAAAGAAAUAAAAAUUUAAGAAAAAAAUUUGAGAGAGUUAUUUCAAAAUGAUCUAUUAGUUUGAUGGAGAAAUGAAUGCAUAUAAAGAGAUGGACCAAAUAAAUUAUUCAAAAAUAACUUAUUAUAAAAUUCAAACAAACCUUAAUGUUUAAUGAUUAAAAUCUAAUUCAACAUGUAGGAGUUAAACCAUGUAAAUAAUCUAUGUAUAGAAAAAUAUAUGUAUUUUAAAAAUUAAUUAUCCGGACAUAAAAAUCAAUUGUAGAGAAGUAUUCUUUGGUUAAUUUAUAAAAUUAGUGUACAAUAUAGAGAAAGAGCGAGAGUAGGNAUCUUCGUCAUAGUCAAGGUGAAAAAAAAAAAAUUAGCUGAUAGGAAAAUACAACGAUUAUAUAACUGUAAAUUUAGUUUUAAAUUGAUCACAUAUAUGUCCCUCAACUACCGGUACAAUGUACUGACCUAUUUUUCAAUAUAACUAUUUUUUAAUCGUUAUAUUUAUUUUCUAUAUAUGAGUCACUUUCACUUUUUCAGUAAAGGUGAUGCCUCAAUAAGGUGCAGUCUAAAUAGAGUUUGAUUAAUAACGUGGUUUAUUUUCUCUUUUUUCAAAUUAUUUUAUUAUUAUUAUUAUUAUAUAGAGAAUUUUUUUAUUGUUUUAUUAUAUCAUUAAUGUAUAAUUAGUUUAUAAAUUUUAAAAAUAAAAAUAUAUUUUAUUUUUAUAUAACAAUGCGUGUACCUCACCUUCUUCCCCACCCACCCCGGGCGUGACCGAAGGUCUUUAUCAUUUAACAGUCCUAUCAAUGCACUCGUUCUUUUCCCGCCCUUCCUUUGCCGUGGCUUGACUGCGCGACCUCCGCGCGCUUUGUCUUUCGUGCCCCCACCCGGGGCGCUAGAGCGACCGCAGUGGACGAGUACCAAAAGGUAGGACUUGGUGCAGGUGGUGCAGUCGUAUUCAUUGAACGUCCAUAUCUCCAGAAUUUUAAACAUUGGGUUGGUAAGGCGCAUUAUUAAAUGUAAUAAUAUUGGUUGUCAGAGAAAGGAUCUCGUUCACUGUUUCUCAAACCACCAACCAUGAGUCCUGGGUUCAAGCUUAGAAUCAACUAAGUGGAAAGGUCGAUUCAAAUAAAGAUUUAUUUUAUUUGCUUCGCCCAUCGCACGAUGAAUAGAGAGAAUUUUUUUUUUAUAUAAUAAUAAUACAUCUGUAAGAUGUUUAAUUGGCCCAAGUGGGCGAUACUGCGUAUUAAUGAAAGCCCUAGAUAAAAAAAAAAAAAAAAACUCUCUAUCCAUGGUACGAUGGGCGAAGAAAAUAAAGUAAAUCUUUAUUUGAAUCGACUUUUACACUUAGUUGAUCCUAAGCUUGAACCUAGAAGCCAUGGUUGGUGAUUAGGACUUAUAAUUUACUCGAAUCAAAUUAUAAAAAAAAUUUUAAAAAACUAUUACAUACCUAUUCCAAUGUGGUACGGAGAUCGACCGAACCUCUACGAGUUCGUGCUUAGAGGUGCGUCCCACCUACUCGACAACUCUAGUUGUACCUGCUUGUUUUUAAUGGAUGCGCUAACACGUAUAGGGUAUCGUGCGGCAAUUAAAAAUGGUGAUGUUGAGGAAAAUAAAUAUUGAUAAAAAUCCUCAUUAAAGUCGUAUUUAAAAAAAACAGAUCUAUCCCAUGCAUCGAUGCACUAAUGCAAUUGAAGCUGUAGGUUUAGUGGGAUAUUUUUGAGAGAUACGCCUGCAUCCCAUCCAAGGUGACAGGCGCUGUACCUCUGUGAGGAGCGAUGGGAUUUUGCCUUUAUUGAAAAAAGAUUUUUUUUAAUAUCUUCGUGGAUUUGUAUUUAUUGAAUAAUUUACAUUUAAUUUUAUGUAUAUAUUUUUUUUUUUAGAUAUUCCACGCGGAAAAACUGAUUACACGCGUAAAGGGGUGGUGCGGAUUGACAAGGGUUAUAUCGUCGUCCGGUGACAUACGCCCGUGGCGUGGGGACUGAGGGGGUGAAACAGGCGUACGCUUGGUUGCCGCCACUAGCUGGCAAGGGGGGAAGCUAGUGUCGGCAAUCACCCGGGUUUUCAUCUAUUCCACCCAGUAUGCUUCUGGAAGCACGGAGCGCUCCGUGCUUCCAAGUUGUUUUCGAUGUUCGGACUUUCGAAUCGACGAUCGGCUCCGUUAGACUUGAUCUAAAGUAUUUGAAGUAUCUAGAAAAUAAAUUUUGCGAUUUUUCGAUAUCAUUUGCCUAGUGAUCGAAGUGGCUCAAAAUCAACGGCUGAAAAUAAAAAUCUCACAAAAUAUGAUGAUAUGACAUUAAAAUUUUAGAUCAAAGUUAUUGAUCUUGUUUUAUAUGGUAUAAAGAAUUUUCUAUCAAAAUUUCACGUGAUUUGGAUAUUUCUACACCGUUAAACUUGCAACCGGCUCACCACGGCCGUUAAAAUUAUUGAUUUUGAGCCCCUACGAUCACUAGGCAAAUGAUAUCGAAAAAUCGCAAAAUUUAAUUUCUUGGUACUUUAAAUACUCUAGAUCAACUCUAACGGAGCCGAUUGUCGAUUCGAAAGUCCGAACAUCGAAAACAAAGUGGAAGCACGGAGGCCUCCGUGCUUACGAAAGCAUACCAGCCCACUCUAUAUAUAUAUAUGUAUUUUGUUUCAUAAAAGAUAAUUAAUAAAUUAUAUUUUGAUUUUCAAACCAUGAUUACAAGGACUUAAAUGCACAGUAUAGGAAAUGUACUUAUGUAUUCGGUGCAGGCAAUAGUUUUUCAGUUUAAAAUAGUCUCCAAAUAUUUAAAAAGCUCGAAGAUAAUAUACAAUUUUUUUAAAAAUUCGAACUCAAAAAAGAAUAUGAAGAAGAAAUGUACUAAUUAUGUAUUCGGUGCAAGCAAUAGUUUUUUAGUUUAAAAUGGUCUCCAAAUAUUUAAAAGUUUGAAGAUACAAAUUUUCAAAAAAUUCGAACUCAAAAAAAGAAUAAAACUGCUAUAUUACAUCCUUUAUGUGCUAGUGUGUAAAUUUUUUUGAUAAAACAAAUAAAUAAGUGAGAUCAUUAUGAUUUCAAAACCAUUAAUUUUCUUUCAAAUAAAUUUUUUUUUGAGUAUCCUACAAACCUGUUUCUAUAUUUAGAUUUGCAUAAACUUCACCAUAUUUUAGUUCCCAAACUUCUAAAUUUAAUAUUUUAGUCCUUUAAAAUUUUUUUUUUCACUUUUAGUCUUUGUAAUUGUUUACUAUAAAGGAGAAACUAUUGCAUAUGUCCCGUGCAUUUAUGGACUUGCGCAAUAUUUAUUUAUCAACUCUUAUAUAUGCGACAUUUUGUUAUUUAGAAAUUAAAUUUUUAACUUACAAAUGUGUGAUAGGUGAAGACCGGAUGGAUUUAUAGUGACAAGGGGAAACUUUGAAUACCUGGUUUCGCACUUUUCCAUUUUAAUACCCUGUGGUUUAAAAUAUAUCAAGUGGUUUCGUACUUUUUUAUUUCAGUACUAUGUGAAUUCAAGUGUAUCAAGUUAGUACCCUGUGAUUCCGCACUUUCUCACUUUAAUACCAUGUGGUUUAAUAUUUCGUUAAAUUAUAUACCCCGAAAUGGAUAAUAAAAAGAAAAAAUUGAAACCAUAAGGUACUAACUUGAUACAAAAUAAAAUCAUAGGGUACUAACUUGAUACACUUGAAACCACAAGGUUACUAAAGUGAGAAAGUGCGAAANAUCCCAAAAGAGCCUUACCACAUCCCAAUCCCAAAGUGUACUUUUGGGAUUGAGAAAAUCGGAAUAUGAUCUCUGUUUAACGUUCAUUCAGGAGGUUUUGAGUUUUAAAGUAUUGCUCAGGACGUGUCGCGCACAUUUUGCGCUCUUAUGGGGAGGUACAUGCUAGGGUGCGUUUUGCCGUGUAUUUUAUAGCGUAGAAAACGCUUUAAUGUUAAAACGGUUGUAGCUGGAGAGAAGCUAGUUGCACGCUAGAGGCGUCUAGGCAGGUAGCCUAAACGCUUGCCUAGUGUGGUCACGCUAGUCGUGGAGCCUCUAUCGUUUCGAUGCUAAAAACCAAGUGGAGCUAGCUGGUGUCUAAGCGCUGCUUUAGGUAAGAGAAAGGUUUUCCGGUAUUAUUGCGUGUUAAUGUAUUCUUUGUACAUAAAAGUCUAAAAGAGCUUUAGGCACGCAGUUUUGGUUUUAGGCAGUCGCGGUAAUCAAGGUCUUAUCGACGUAGGAAGCUUUGCUCGAUAACCUGACGAUACUUGCCUCAGGCUAUGCGUGGUCUUCGGUUGAGAUGAGGCGCCGAAGAGGUCUUUUGGCCUCAAUGAUAAGUGAAUUCACUUUUGAUUUUUAGCGCAUUGAAGAGGCAAAAUCGAGUAAAAGAGGACUUUGAACUGCUCACGAAUACAUUAAUUUAAUGUGUGUAUUUGUAGCAGUUGUCUCUCAAAUCAACGUGACAUUUUUUUGGGUCAGGAAUGUUUUCUAAUCAAUGAAUUUAAUUUUAAAAUUUUAUAAUCUAUCAAUUUAAUUUUAUUAAAUAGUAAGUUUCUUUAAGAUAUGUAUAAUAAACAAUAAGUUGGAAUUAAUAAGAAAAAAUAGAAUUAAAAAAAUAGAAUUAAUCCCCCCAACCCCUAGAAAAAAAUAGAAUUAAAAAGAAUAAAAAGGAGAGAAGUGACUAAAAACCCAUCCUCUCGUACUCCUUAGCCCGGAUAAAGAAAAAAUUAAAUCAGAUUAAGAGGAGAGAAAGAGUAAUAUUUUUAAAUUUUAUAUAUUAAAAAAUCUAUAUUAAAAAUUUAUUGAAUUUAACAUAUAUAUAAUUUAUAUUUAAAAUCAAAAUAUCAUAAUUAAUGAAUCUAUAUCUAACGUGUUAUUUUGUAUUUUCUUUCUAACUACCUCAAAUCUAAUUAAUAAAUAAAAUUAUUCAAAUAAACGCUCUUAACAUACUUCAUAUGAUUGAUUUAAACAUUUCUAUUUGCUAUAUAAGUUUAAAACUUUAGUUUUAUGAUAAUGACUGAAUUUAGAUUAUAUAACUUUCUAACAUUUCGUUUUAUUUUAAAACUUUCUAACCUAUAUGAUUAAAUUUUACUAAGUUCCAAGAUAUAUAAAAAUGAAACUAAAAUUAUAGUUUAAAAUUACAGUAUAAGAUCAGGCUAUUCGCUAAUUGAAGUAUAAAUUUGAAAAAACAUUAUAGGUUUUAUACUAACUAGCUGAAGAUAAAAAUUAUUAAUCCGUAAGAUUUUAAAUAAGAUAUCAAUAUAUCCAAAAAAGAGCUUACUUUAAUGAUUAAUUUGUUUUAACUAGCGAUGAAUUGAAACAGAAGCAAACCUUAUUUUUAAUAUGUAUUUUUUUUAUUUAAUGUGAAAGCGAGUAGUUUGAUAUUCUGUACAUUGUAUCAUCAAGAGCUUAAAAUUACGCAAUAUUAAAAAUUGAUUUUGAUGCUCUGUGCACUGUGAAAUGAGGAAUUUAAAAUUAAUCGACGUUUAAGACUGAACCUGAUACUCCGUAUACUAUAAAAUCAGGAGUUAAAAAUGACGAUGAUAUUUAUAUUAAAUAAUAAGAAUAUUAAAAAAUAAAAAAAAUAUAAGAAGAAUAUAAAAAAAUAAGAAUAUGAAAAUGACAUUAUCGACGACGAAGAAGAAGUCAAAGAAAAAAAUUAAAAAAAUAAAAACUGACGAAAAGCAAAACAACAAAAAAUUAAAAUGAAUAAAUAAAAAAAAGCUAUAAUUAGGCGACGUUGCGCCUCCUAACCGCUUCACCUCCUCCCUGCCCACCCCAUGCGCGCGCCUUGGCCGCCGGCAAGCCGCUGCGGUCGCCGGAGGGACCUCCCCGGCUUCCCCCUCCACUUUCUAUCCCUCUCCAUCUCUAUCCCUCUCUCCCUCUCUCUUAUCUCGAGUUGUGAGGAAGCCCGAGACUGCCGCCACCUCCAGACCCUCCGCCGGUGUCGCCCCGUGCUCCGGCGAGCAUCCCCGCCGACCGCCGCCGUCGCCAAGCGCCGCCGCGGCCGCUGCUGCACCCGGCUGCUGCCUAGGCCGAGCUUAGGUCGAGGAUGACUCGCGGCCUCCCCGCGCGCAGCCACCGCCUGCACCCGUUCCGGCCGCCAUCCCCGGACCCUCGGCGACCACCCCGGCAGGUCGCCAGCGCUCCUGCGGGCCGCCGCCGCCGCUGCGGCCACCCUGCAGCCAUCCCAGGUCUGCUCGGACUGAGCAGACUUGGUAACUUCACCCCAGCGCCGCAGCCGCCUUGGUCCACACCCGCGGCCUUCUCCUGUGUCCCACCGACCGGCCGGUCGCCGCCGCCCUUCGGAUCGCCGCCGCCGCCCUGAACCUUGGGCGCCGCCGCCUAGGCCUGCAGACCGAGCCUAGCUCGAGCGGCAACACCCGAGCCGCGGGCCGCCGCCGCUGUCGUCCGCAGCCUUCCUCCUCCUCCUCCGGCCUCUGUGGACCUGCCGCCGUCGUCCCCGACCUGCCCCGGCCGUCGCCGUGGCCGCAACACCCCCCCGGACCCGUGCCCUAGCUCGUGCGGGCAUGCCUUGCUCCGCCGCCGCCGCACCCCGCCGCCGCCGCCGCACCCCGCCGCCAACGGAGGUGAGCAUCGUGUUCCUCACCUCCCCCGCACCCAUCCCUGGCCCCCACGCGCGCCGCCGUGCCGCCGGAGGCCGGCCGGAGCAACCUUGCUCCGGCCAAGCCCGAAAUAGGGCUUAGUUUGGGAUGGUUUACUGUUCUGAGCUUCCUGAGCCUCCGCGAUCUCUGCGAAAGGGAGCACGAUGAUCGUAGAAAAUUUCUGAUCAUUGUGCUCACCUUAGAUUCUGCCGGGGAGACUCCGUUCCGCUGUUUCGGCAGUGUCGACCCUGUCGAGCCUGUUUGGCUGCUGUUUUGGGCUUGCGCACGCUUAUCCGGCGAUCCGAGGCUGUCCUGAUGCCUCCGGAGGUGAGCACGGUGAUCGUGGGUCAGUUCUGAUCACAGUGCUCAUCUCACUUUGGAUCAACAGUGUCCGGUUAGCCCUGUUUGGAGCAAUCUUCCCCGACUGCGCGCUGUUCGCUGAACCUUCGGGUUGCUCCCGCGCUUCCCACAGUGACCUGUUGCGCUCCAGACCAUGAGCACGGCCUCCGGUACAUCGAGACCUAUCAGUAUGUGUCUCAGCUGAACUUAGAAAUCCUCGGUUUGCGUGUACGGGCUAUGUUAUCGCCCGAUUUACAUAAAAUAUUGGGAUUUUAUGUAAAUUCAGGGGCUUUUGUGCAAUUGUGAGCCUUGGGGCUACUGUGGACAGUGUGUAGACAUGUGUGGUGUCCUCUGGACUGAUUGUCCAUGAUCCGUUAGCUUUUGCAGAAAUCGAAGAGUCGAUUUCGAUGCGUUUUUCGGCGAAAUUCGCCGAAAGAACGCGGUUUUGGUUCGGAUUUCUUCCGACGUCGUUUGGUUGCUCUGUGAGUGGUCGAUAAGCCUUGUCGGCUGGUCACCAUCAUCACCUUGUGGGUUCGGUGAUGACCGGUGAGCGACGGUGGGUUCCGGUGUCGAAUUUGACACUUCCGGAAACCCGUAUUCGUACAAUUAUCCGGCGAUAAUUGUGUCGUGGUGUUACCUUAUGUUUGCUGCCAAAACAUCCAAAUUGGAGUGUUUUGUGGCAGCGGGUGACUUGUAGCAUGGGUCGGUGCGUUCCGGGACAUUUCAGUGGUCCCGACGGAGUCCCGGUGCGAUUUUCGGGACUUCCGGCGAGUUACGAUAGUCGGUUUUGAGAAACUGAUUGACAUGGCUGCAGCCUAGCUUCAUGGGUGGACAUGUUGACAGCGCGGACAGAGGACUGACGUUUUCUUGCAGUUGUCCUGGAUUCCUCCCAGGUGACCCAAUCACAGAUUGGGUGUUGAUUCUUUGUGAUGUAGUAUUAGGGAGAUUGUUUGGGUGCCUCNAUCUUCUCCAUUUUAGCUCAUUUUCGCCCGAAACUUGACGAGUGCUUAUGUAAUUAAAUUACACACAUAAACAUCAUCAACAGAGAGUUUAGUAGCACUGUCAAAAAUCUCAGUCCUUACAGUAGGGUUUGUGUGCUAUUAGGAGCACAAAGGCUUUCGUACUCGUAAGUCGUUUUUUAUGAUGGAACUUUCAAAUCGACGAUCGGCUCUAUUAGACUUGAUCUAGCAUGCAUAUUUGAAAUAUCUAGAAAAUAAAUUUUGUGAUCUUUCGAUAUCAUUUACCUAGCGAUUAAAAGGGUUCAAAAUCAAUAAUUUUUAAAAGUUGAUAUAUAUCGUUUGCAAAUUUAACGGUGUAGAAGUAUUGAAAUUAAAUAAAAUUUUGAUAAAAAAAUUUUUACACUAUUUACUGCAAGAUUAAUACCUCUUAUCGAAAGUUUUAGUGUUAUAUCACCACUUUUUGUGAGAUUUUUAUUUUCAGCCUUUGAUUUUAAACCCUUUCGAUCGCUAGGUAAAUAAUAUCAAAAAAUCGCAAAAUUUAUUUUCGAAAUACUUCAAAUACGCCAGAUCAAAUCUAACAGAGCCGAUCGUUGAUUUGGAAGCUCCAUCAUCGAAAACGGCCUCCGUGCUUGUAAUAGCACAAUAGACCUACUCUCUCUCUCUCUCUCUCUCUCUCUCUCUCUCUCUCUCUCUAUAUAUAUAUAUAUAUAUAUAUAUAUAUAUAUAUGUAUUUUGUUUCAUAAAAGAUAAUUAAUAAAUUAUAUUUUGAUUUUCAAACCAUGAUUACAAGGACUUAAAUGCACAGUAUAGGAAAUGUACUUAUGUAUUCGGUGCAGGCAAUAGUUUUUCAGUUUAAAAUGGUCUCCAAAUAUUUAAAAAGCUCGAAGAUACAUACAAAUUUUUAAAAAAUUCGAACUCAAAAAAGAAUAUGAAGAAGAAAUGUACUAAUUAUGUAUUCGGUGCAAGCAAUAGUUUUUUAGUUUAAAAUGGUCUCCAAAUAUUUAAAAGUUUGAAGAUACAAAUUUUCAAAAAAUUCGAACUCAAAAAAAGAAUAAAACUGUUAUAUUACAUCCUUUAUGUGCUAAUGUGUAAAUUUUUUUGAUAAAACAAAUAAAUAAGUGAGAUCAUUAUGAUUUCAAAACCAUUAAUUUUCUUUCAAAUAAAUUUUUUUUUUGAGUAUCCUACAAACCUGUUUCUAUAUUUAGAUUUGCAUAAACUUCACCAUAUUUUAGUUCCCAAACUUCUAAAUUUAAUAUUUUGGACUUUAGAAUCCUUUAAAAAAUAUUUUUUCACUUUUAGUCUUUGUAAUUGUUUACUAUAGAGGAGAAACUAUUGCACAUGUCCAGUGCAUUUAUCGACUUGUGCAAUAUUUAUUUAUCAACUCUUAUAUAUGCGACAUUUUGUUAUUUAGAAAUUAAAUUUUUAACUUACAAAUGUGUGAUAGGAGAAGACCGGAUGGAUUUAUAGUGACCAGGGGAAACUUCAAAUACUCCCCCUGUGGUUUCGCACUUUCUCAUUUUAAUAUCCUGUGGUUUAAAGUGUAUCAAGUUAGUAUCCCGUAGUUUCACACUUUUUCACUUCAGUACCCUGUGGAUUCAAGUGUAUCAAGUUAGUACCCUGUGAUUCCGCACUUUCUCACUUUAGUACCAUGUGGUUUAAUAUUUCGUUAAAUUAUAUAUCUCGAAAUUGAUAAUAAAAAGAAAAAAUUGAAACCACUGGGUACUAACUUGAUACAAAAAUAAAAUCACGCGAUACUAACUUGAUACACUUGAAACCACAGAGUUACUAAAGUGAGAAAAUACGAAACCACAUGGUACUAACUUGAUAAACUUUAACUACAAGGUACUAAAAUAAGAAAGUGCAAAACCACGGAGGGGUAUUUGAAGUUUUCCCUAGUGACAAUAUAGGUACCCGCGCGUUGCGGCGGAUUAAUAUCGAAAAAAAAUAAAUAAGUAAAAUUAAAAAACAACAAAACGAAAAAGAGUCAAAAAUAAAAAAAUUAAAAAAAUAAACUGAAGAAGAAGCAGCUAUUUCAGUAAAAGUAUAAGAAUAAAAAUAUAAGAAAAAUAAAAAAAUAAAAAAUUAUAAGAAUAAUAAAUUAUAUUUAUAGUAGCAGUAAAAAUCUAUACCCAUACAUUAAUCCCAAAAAAAAUGUCACGUGUCUGUAUAUCCUUUAUUUUGGACUUCACAUUGCGAAACUAACCCUUCGCCUUCCCUCCGAUUAUAACGUCUAAUUAAUGGUCCACCCACUUUAGCCCACUUUAACCAAACCCUUCACCUUUCCUAUGUACAUAACGUUUAAUUAAUGAUCUAUCCACCUUAACCCUAAUCUAAACCGUAAAUCAUAGAAAUCCAUGCAAAAGUCCCCUUCUCUCCUUCUUUACUUUCUUUUCCUCCUCCAUGGGCUCCGAGGCUAAAAUCGAGCAUCAGCUAUAGACGGAUGAUGAGUUUAUAUGCUGCAUGCAUCGCUGAGUUUGGCGCUGUCAUCUUCAUCAAAUCGAGCCUUCCUCCAAAUUUUAGAAGUUCUUUUAAAAGAUUUACAUAUUUUUUUUGUUGUAGUGUUAAAAUUUCUUAGGUAGCUUUAGUCAGUUUUUCCAAAUUUAACACUUUGAUUGUUUUAAUUUAUAAAAUAUUAAUUUUUAUUGAACAUUUUAUCUAAAUCUCUCCCAAAUAGUAUAUCACUUUUUGGCUCAAUAGGUUGACAUACUUAUUAUAUUUUUAUGAGCAUUUUGUUACUAAUCGGUUUCAGCAGAUUAAUAUACUUUUACAAGAAGUCAAUAUAUUUGGACUAUUUUAAUUUUUAAAAUAAUGACAAAUUUUUGAUAUAUUAGUUAGACAUUAAAUUUAUUUUAGUGGUAUCUACCCGCCGGAGCAUGCGGGUUACUACACUAGUUAGCUCAUUAAUCUACAAAAGAUCAUUAUUAUUUAUAUCUAACAAUUACGUGCCUAGAAAAUAGCUUAAUUACAGCGUUAAUUAAUCUCCAUCUCUUUCUUUUUUAUUGUUUAAACUGAAGGGGCCAAAAAUCUAAAAUUAGCUUAGGGACUGUUUGGUUUGAGUAAAACUGCGGAAAAAAAAUUUCGGUGGAAAAAAAAUUUUCGGAGGAAAAUAAAUUUUACGCUCUUAGCGUUUGGUUUGUAGGAAAAAAAAAAAAAUUUUGCAUCGCUGUUGUUUGAUUGAAAGGAAAGAAAAGAAAAAGAAGGGAAAAUUUAGUUAUAAAUAAAAAAUUAAUAUAUAUAUAUAUAUAUAUAUAUAUAUAUAUAUAUAUAUAUAUAUAUAUAUAUAUAUAUAAUAAUUAUCAUAUUACUAAUAUUAUAAAUUAUAUUUGUAAAUAAAAUAUGUUUAAAAUAUAUUGUACAAUAAGUAUAUAAUAAUAUUUAUAAUAUAAUAGUAUAUAUAUAUAUAUAUAUAUAUAUAAUAUAAUAUAUAUAUAUAUAUAUUUAAUACUAAUAAAUAAAUUUAAUAAAUAAUAUUUAUAAUAUAUAUAUAAAUAUAUAUAUAUAUAUAUAGAGAGAGAGAGAGAGAGAGAGAGAACCGGCUAUGGUGGCUUGUAAAAGCACGAAAUAUUUGGUGUUGUGUAAAUUUUUUACCAUUAGAUUUAUGCCUUUGAUCAUUUUCAACCGUUAGAUUAUACUAUUCAACCAACCACCACACUCAACUCUAGGAGGCCCACGUCAUCCUAACUGCACAUUGCUUAAUCCAAUGCUAAAAAUCUACAAGCACCAACAACUUGUACUUUUAAAAGCAUAGGAGCUCAAUUCUCUCUUUAUAUAUAUAUAUAUAUAUAUAUAUAUAUAUAUAUUAUAUAUAUAUAAUAUAUAUAGUCUCCUAUACUAUCUAUAGUACCGGAGCUCUGGUACUAUAGUCCAUUUUCAAUCUUAGGGUGUUCAAAUCAACGAUCCACACCGUUAAAACUGAUCUAGAGUAUUUAAAGUUUUAGAAAUAAAAUUUUAUAUUUUUCGACAUAGUUUAAUUACUUUAUGAUCAAACUAUUUCAAAAUUGUUAAUUUUCAAUGCUACUAUGGUGAGUUUGGAGUUUACGGUGUAAAGAAUCUAAAUUUCUUCAAAUUUUGAUAGAAAAUACUUUAAACUAUCAAGAUUAAGGUUAACAUUCUUGAUCUUGAAUUUAAAAGUUCUAUACUCAAUUUAAAGAUUAUUCAAUUUUUACCGUUCAUUUUGACAUAAUUUAUUUACUAAGUAACAGUGUCCAAAAAACCUAAAAUUUUAUUUCUAAGAACUUCAUAUGCCCUAAAUCAGUUUUAACGGUGUGGAUUAUUAAUUUGAACACACCUAAGAUCGAAAACAACACUAUAGUACCGAAGCUCUGAUACUAUAGAUGGUAAUGUAGCCUAAUUCUAUUAUAUAUAUAUAUAAGUUAGCUAUGAUACUUUUACAAGUAUCACCAUCAUGGUGCUAUUAGUUUUAAGCUAUUGGAUCUACUUUUUGAUUAUUAAUAGCCCUUGGAUUAAACACUAUUCCACCUACCACCACCUACCACCACCUACCACCAUCAUCUCAACCUCACAUCUCUCCAUCCAAAGCUAAAAACACACAAGUAUCACUUGGGUGAUACUUGAAAAGUAUUCUAGGCCCUAGCUAUAUAUAUAUAUAUAUAUAUAUAUAUGUGUGUGUGUGUGUGUGUGUGUGUGUGUGUGUGUGGAGUGGACCACUCACAUGGUCCACGAGCUCUUAUAUGAGCUCGUUGAGGACUAAAAUAUCAUAUGCCUCAUAGUUCAAGUUAGAAUUUGCAGCUAAUUAAAAUUUAAGGAGUAAAGUGUCACGUGUCUCGUAGUUUUAGUUAAAAAUUAUAACGCAUUAAAAUUCGAGAACUACUAUGUUACAUGUCUUAUAGUUUGAUGAGCGAAAGUGUAAUUUAUUUUUUUUAUGUAUAAUUUUUAUUCCAAACGAAGACAAAGUUGAGUAGCGAUCAAUUUUGUUUAAUUAGUAAUUUCAUUCGAGAAAGAACCUAUAUAACUAUAGAAUAAAUUUUGGAAUGCCUAAUUAUUAAAAAUAGAAGUCGAUCAAUCAUAUUUUAGAUAUUACAAAAAAGUUUAAAUAUGAAGUUAAUCGCUUAUCGGACUAGAAAUAUGACAUUAAAAUUUGAUAUUAAAAUCAAAGUAAAAAUAUAUAGAACCUUGAACCAUUUUAAAUUAGUAUAUCCAAUCUUUCAAAAUUUUAUUUUGCUUUACAAUCUUUCAAUAUAUUAGAUUUAAGUCAGUAAUAGUAUUUUGAUUUUAAAAUUUGAAUAUAUUAUUUAUCUUUACAAAUUUAGUUAAUAUACUUUAUACAAUUCUCGCAAAUAAACUUAUUAAAAUAAAUAAUUAACCUAAACUCCAUCAAUCUUUUUUUUAUGUUUUAUUGUGCAAUCUAUAUCUAAGUAAUUAAUACUAUAAAACUAAAAUUUAUAUUUAAUAUAUAUACAAUUUAAGUUAUUUAAAAAUUAUAGCUAAAAAAUUAUAUAUUUUAAAUUUUUAUAAUGAGAAAGAGAAGAGAAUUAGACUGAAUUAAAAAAGAAAUAGGCCCGAUUCCUCGUGCUCUCCUACCCAAAAAUCAGUGAAGAGAGGAAAAAUAAGAAAAAUUAAGAUAAAAAAAGAUCCCCAACCCCCCUAAUUAAGAUAAAAAAAUUAAGAUAAAAAAGAAUAAUUAAGGUUGAAUAACAAAUAAUAUGUAUAGAAUUUCUUUGAAUGAUAAAUUAUUUUAAUCUAACUAUCUAAUAUUUUAAAAUUUUAAUUUAAGUAACUAAUCUUUUAAUUUGGGUACAAAAAUUUAAGCUAAUUACUUUUGAUACAACACAUUCGAAAUUUACAGCUAAAAUAUUAUUAAUCGAUUCAGACCAAACAAAUUAUAAAUUAGCUAGCAAAAUUAGAAAUUCCAAAGAUUUGGUAGUCAAAUAAAAAUGUUAAUAAUUGAGACAAAUUCUCUAUGUUUUCAUUCUCAAAAUAAAUAGGUAAUGCUUUGUCUAGCCUCAUUAGGAAAAAUAUUUUUAAUCUAGUCUGUUUUCAAAAAUAUUUCUAAUCUAGUCUAAUUUUUAUGGAUUAGAAAAAAAAAUAUGUUAAUAACUUUUAUGUAAAUUUAUGUGUUAAUUAAAAGAGAGAUUAUUUUUUUCUCUCUCCUCUCCCAUCUUCAUCUUCCAAGACCUUUCUCUCACUCCCUCUCUCUCUCUCUCUCUCUCUCUUCCCUCACACAUUUUCUCUCCCCCCUCCCCCACACACACUCUCUCUUUAAUAUUUAAUAAUAAUUAAUUUUUAUUAUAAUAAUAAUAAUUAAAAAUUAAUAUUUAAUAUCUAAUAAUAAUAAUAAAUAGUAUUAUUACUAUAUUGUAAAUUUUUAUUAUUACUAUUAUUAUUACUACUAUUAUUACUAAUUUUUAAUUUGGCCUUAUAGUUUUAUCAAAUAUAGUCAAUUUUAUAGCAUAUCUGCUGUAUAGUUAUAUCAUUUUAUUUUUAUGUAAUUUAUAGUCGUAUCUUAAUUUGAAUGUACAGUUUUAUUGGUUGUUUAAUAACAUCAAUUAUAUAGUCAAAUUAAUAUUAAUAAUAUUAGUAAUAAUAAUAGUAAUAAUAAAAAGUUAUAAUUUAGUACUAAUUCUAUUUAUUAUUACUAGUGAAGUUAUCCGUUCAUUGCGGUGGCUGAUGCUAUGAAAAUUUUGACAAAGUAAAAAAUUUUAAAAUUUUUGACUUGUCAUGAGAUACCAAAAAUACAAAUAGAAGAUAUGAAACAGAUAUAGUAAAAUUUAUAAUUUCAGCAAAUAAAUUACAAAUAAUAAUAAUAAAAGAAACGACAAUAGAACACUAUUUUAUACGCACCUUAAUCUCGCUGUCGAUAUCAGGGAGGCGAAUCCUGAUCCAUGCCACAUUUGCUACCGUUGUCAGUAUCGAGCUUCUUCUUGGUCACAGUCACGUCGAUUCCGUACAGAUCUUCCCAGACCAACCGUUUCUUCCCCGUCAUCGACUUCAAAUUCAUUUUUAGUUCCCCCCAUCGUGUCGUGCCAUGAUCCUUAUAACCCUAAUUUCAUCCCCACUCAAUUAAAAAAUAAUUAAGAAAAGUAUAAAAUAUGAAUCUUUUUUGUGUCCUUUCUAUAAAAAAAAAAAAUUUGUUUCUUUUGUGAAAUUGAUUUGUUUACAUGAUAAUGAAUCAUGUGAACAUAUUAAUUAAAAAGUGGGCUGGUAAUAAAAUGAAACAUUAGUGAUGAAAAAUAAUAAAUUCAAUUAUUAGGAAAAGAAAAGAAGGUAAGGGUGAAGGAGGUGAAGGAGGCAUUGUUACAUGGCAAAAUUUAUAAAAAAUAAUGUAUAGAUAUAAAUAGAUAUAAAUUAUUANGUGUGGGUGUAUGGGUGGGGAGGGAGGAGAGAGACUGCUGCUUAAGAGGGAGGGAGAGAAAGAGGGGAAAAGGUGUGGUUGGUGAGGACUGAGGAGAGAGAGAGGGGUCUUGGAAGAUGGGAGAGCGAAGAGAAAAAAAAUAAUAUAUCUCAAUUAACAUAUAAUUUAUAUAAAAAUUAUUAAUUUAUUUUUUUUAAUAUAUAAAAAUAAGGCUAAAUUAGGAUUAUUUUUGCUUUUUUUUUUCCCAAUGAGAUUAGACAAGACAUUACUUUCAAAAUAAAACUCAAGUAAAAAUUACACUUUUGGCACUCAAAUUAUGGAAUGCGUGAUAUUUUGAUCAUCAAACUUUAAUUUAUAAUAACAUUUAGCUUAAAUUUACUAAAUUAUCGCAAUCAAAUUUGACAAUUCAAUUUACUUGAAUAUAUAGUUAAUAUAGAAAUAAUGCGCCAGUACUGCAAGCAAUAACGCAACAAUGAUUAAAUACAUUAGCAGAAUUAGAUUAUGGGACUUAAUUAUAAUAAUUUAAAUAAUUUGAGUAAAAAAUUACUAUAAAUUAAUAUUUAAAAGGAGCCAAGGACUGAAAGCGUAAUUUAGGCUAAAAACUGGACUAAAAGAGGAGUCUAGAUUCUAGAAUACGGUUCAUCAGUCUUGUACAAUAAUUUCUCCCAAGGAGGGAAGAAUGAUGUGCUCUCCAGCUGCCAGCCGGACUUCAAAAUCCGGACUUAAAUACGAAUGUAUAAGAGCCUGCAAAACAUCCUACGAGGAGCCUUAUACGGACCCGUUAAGAAGUAGCCCAUCUUUGCACCCGCUAAUACCCGGUGGGUCCCACUGAGGAGUGCGCAAACGGGUUGGUUUCUUUUCUCGGGCGCGCAAAGAAAACCGCCUCCGGUCGAGGACUCGCGUCCCCAUCGCCGGCCCCACCGCGUCCGGAUGCGGUUUUCUCCGCCCGGCUCGGCUCGGCUCGGCUCGGCUCCGGGAAACGACAAGAGUGCACCCCCCUCGAGGCGAGGGAAAGGGCCGGGGCCCCUGCUGUACGGGCGUUGGCGCAUGCGGGCGCGCGCGAUUGGUUUUGCGGUGCCGUCCGAUCUCCUGCCCGCCGAUCUCGAAAUUCAUUCCACGCCGAGCAUGAGUAUUACUCGACUAGUUCGAAUUAGGUUUAAAAGCUCGAGAAUAUAUAUAUAUAGUAGAGUUAUUAUGCUAUCGAAAGUAUAGAGAAUUUGGAGCUUUCGAUUUUUUGAUUCUUAGAUCAAUCCCUUUAAUCAGUUCUUAACUUUGGAUUAAUACUAUUAUUACCUUGUACGGACCACUCAACUCUAGAAGUAUUAUUUAAUCCUAGUACCUUAUAGGGAUCACUCAACCCUAGGGAUAUUAUUUAAUCCUAGGGAGGAUCGCAAUCAUCCCAAUCGUACAAUCCUUAAUUACAAGGUCAAAAAUUCGGAAGCAUCAAAUCCUCUAUAUUUUUUAUAGUAUAGUAGUUCUACACUAUAUAUAUAUAUAGAGAGAGAGAGGGGCUAGGGCUACUAUACUCUUAUGAUUAUAGAGCAUUUCGUACUCAUAAGUUGUUUUCAAUGGUGGAGCUUCCGAAUCGAUGAUCCACUCUGUUAAAUAUGAUUUAGAGUAUUUGAAACUUCUAAAAAAUAAAUUUUGUAAUUUUUCGAAAUCAUAAUAAAGUUAAUCAAGUAGGUAUAAAAUGAACGGUCAAAAUCGAACGACGUCUUAAAAAUAGAUGAUCGGAUCCUUCAAUUUAAGAUCGGAGUUAUUGAUCUUUAUCUAUAUAGUGAAUAAAAUUUUCUAUCAAAAAUUCAAUUGAUUUCGAUUCUUUUACAUCGUUAAACUAGCAAAUAUUCCAUACUGGCCAUUAAAAAUUGUCAAUUUUGUGACCUUUUGAUCGUAAGGUAAAUGAUGUCGAAAAAUUAUAAAAUUUAAUUUCUAGAUGUUUUAAAUACUCUAGAUAACGUUUAACGGUAUGGAUCGUCGAUUUGGAAGCUCUAUCAUCGAAAACAACUUAUGAGUACGAGGGUGAUCAUACUCAUAAGAGUAUGAUAGUCGAACUAUAUAUAUAUAUAUAUAUAUAUAUAUGAAAAAAUAUAUAAAUAUAAUAUAUUUUAAUUAUAUAUAGGCUGGGUGAAUAACCUGAGUUUAGUUAAAAAUGGGCCAAUAUUGUUGACCCAUAAAAACAAGCCCAAUAGACAAAUAAAAGAGCAAAAUUUUACUAAAUUUAUACAUUUUUCCUUUCUUUCUUUCUUUUACAUAGCUCUAAAUUUUUAAUAUAUUUCUCUCUUUCUCUUUUUCUCUGUCUCUCAUCCUAAAUGACCAAACCGGAAGCCCUCCAAGUUACCAAGUAACAGCAUGUCGUUGCCUACCUUACUAUUAAUUGUAUGCUUGAGAAAAUAUACAGAAUAUUUUUAAAGUAAAAAAUUAUUAUUUAUGUAAAAUUUUAAUUUUAGUUAUAUAUGAUUGGAUAGUUUAAUCUAAUAUUUAUCUAUAUAAUUUAUUUAUUUUUAACCGCAUGAAUGAAAAUGAAUAAUAUGAAGAUUGAAGGCGGAAGAGAAGACAUGUGAGGCUGAAAAGAUUAGAUAUUCAACUCAUAAAUUAUUUUUCUUCAUAUUAUAAUACCAUAUUUCAUAUAAUUAUUUUGUACUUUGAAUUAUUAGACAUAUUUUUGUAUCAAAUUAUAGAUAAUGUUUAUACAAAUUAAACUAUUGAUCGUAUGAUGUUGAGAAUUUCAAGCAGCUCGUUUGGGGCUCGAACUCGCUUGACUCGAAAUUAGGCUCGCUCGAGCUCAGCUUGAAUUAAUUUCAAACCAAGCUUGAGCUUAAAUUUAGGCUCGAAAUUAAUUUCAAACCGAAUUUGAGCCGAGGUAAGCUCGCUCGAGCUCGGCUCGUUUCCACCCCUAGUCCGCACGGAGUCCGCGACGUGCAUGGUCAUGGGACUUGCGAGGGAAAAUGUAUCUCUAGCUCAAGUUUACUCAUUUGAUCGUAAUUUUUAAAAGGGGCAAUUGCUUAUAUACUCCUGAAAAAUUCUCGACUUUUGAUUUACCUUUCUUAGAAGGCUAAUAUUGAAAAUAUCAUUUCUACGUUUCAACCUAUUUCUAAUAUACCCCUAGAGUUAAAAUCUGUUAAUUAACUCUAUUAUCUCUGUAAAAUUAUUAUUUUGCCCUUUCAAAUAUACCCUUCUACCAUCACCGACUUUCUUAUUUGCCCUUAAAGUCAGGGGCACAAAAAGUAUUUUGACUUUUGGUCUUUUCCAAUAUACUCUUUUACCGUCACCAACAUUUCUUAUUUGUCCUUAAGUUAAGGGCAAAAUUGGUAUUUUAAUUUUUUUAACUGUGGUAGAUAUUUAACUCACGUUUAACCCAAAUUAACUUAAUAGGAGAUAACUGCGGGGGUAUUUUGUAAUAACGGUAGAACAUGUGAGGGGUAUUUUAGAAAAAAAAAAAGUAGGGAUAAAUUAGAUAUUUUCAAACGUACGAGGGGUAUAUAGGCAAUUAUCCCUUUUUACAAAAUAUUGGCCAAUUUGCAUAAAAAAUUUAUAAAUUUUAAACUUUUGUAAAAUUAGAUCAGUUUUUUCGAUUUUUUAGAUUCGAUCUGAAUUUUUAGCAAAUUGAUCAAAAUACUUUUAUUAUUUUUUCUCUCUUCUCUUUUUUUUUUCUCAUUCAUUUUUUUCUUUCUCCGAAGAAGGCGGCGGAGGCAGAAACGCCCCACCUCGCCUCUCACCCUCGUGCCCUCGCCCGCACACCCCCACCUUCUUCGCUUCCGACCUCGCCGAGACCGUGCUGCGACUCUUUUUUUUUUUUUGCCCUUGCCGACGCUCCUCCACUGUUUUCGACGAUGCCCCUCCUCCACCGUUUACUAAGAGGGAGUAAGUAUCUUAUAAUACUGAUUACGAAUAAUUAUGCAACUUAUAAAAAAAAAUAAUUUCAUAAAUACUCUUCUAGGGACUAUUAAUUUCGUUAAUAAUUUUCUAAAAUUGAUAAUAUUACGAAUGCUCUCCAAAAUAUCAAAAAUUAUCAUGUAGGCCCACUGCUAAUUUUGGCAAACAUGAACCUGAAUAUUUAAUAUACUAAAUAUUAAAUUAAUUUACUGAAUAUUUUAGUUAUUAAAAUAUAUAUCUAAAAAUUGUAUUAUAUGCUUUUUAUAUGACUUUGUUUUCAGAUUCUAGUUCAGGUUCAGAUUUGGUUCGAGUAUAGACAAAUCUACAACCAGACCCAGAUACUUUUAAAUUUCUAAUGACCGAAACCAUCCCUGAUAGGAACCGAUUGAGCCCGUCAUAUUUGGAUUCAAGUUCGGAUAAAAUCGUGGGUAUUUGUACCCAUUGACAUCCCUAAUUAAUAGUAGUAGUUUUGAACUAAAUGACAUAGUUAAUUUUCUUCCCUAUUUUUUUGCAAAAAGAAAUCACAUAACUAUUUAUACGCACCUCUAUUUUGUUUUUUUUUUUUUUUGAGAGAUAGGUAGCAUACUACCCGCUUCGUUAUUUCAUUUAGAAAUAAUGCCGAGUUUAGAUAAAAAUAAUUUUUCUGAAGUGAUUUUGAAAAGUGAUUUAUAUAUAUAGUACGUCUUCUAUUUCGAAAGUACGAAGGCUUCCGUGCUUAUAAGUUGUUUUUGAUGAUGGAGGAUCCGAUUCGGUGAUCGGCUCCAUUAGAUAUGAUCUACGCUGUUAGAACUAUUUAUAAACUAAAUUUUAUAAUUUUUCGAUACAUUUACCAAGCGAUCAAAGAGUCUCACAAAUGAUUAUUUUAACGGCCGAUGUGACACGUUUGAAAGUUCAACGGUGUAGAAGAAUCCAAAUUAUAUGAAACUUUAAUAGAAAAUUCUACUUAACAUCAAAAGAAAGGACAAUACUUCUGAUUUGAAAUUUGAGUCUUUUAUCACUAUUUUUUAUGAGAUUUUUAUUUUCAGCCGUUCAUUUUGAGCCUACUCGUCCACUAGGCAAAUAAAAUAAAAAAUUAUAAAAUUUGGUUUCUAAAUAGUUUCAAUACCGUAGAUUGUAAUAUCCUUGGUGUUUUAAAUUUCAGCAUUUGAGACUUGUCGAUACAUCUGGAUAGUGUCGGGACAAGUCCGAAUCGUUUUGGCGCGAAAUAGACGCAAAAUGGACUCAGUGUGAUCCAAGAGCAGGAAUUUAGCACUGAAAUCUGCAAAUUGUAGGUUGUCAGCAUUGAGUACCGGUACCACACAAGGGACUACCGGUACCCCAGUCUAAUUUUCUGAUUUCUGCUCUUGGGUUGUGAAGGCUGAUGUGGGAUACCGGUACGGCAUCGGCCUGGUACCAGUACUCCAGGGUAGGUGAGGGGCCUUUUGGUCUUUUGAUGCCUUGAUCAUUUCACCCUUAUCUCCCACCGCCUAUAUAGGAUAGAGGAUCUGAGAGAGAGCUUUUGUUUGCUCUUCCCUCUCUCUCUCUCUAGAUUGAAGCCGUGCGCUUGGUGGAAGUCACGGUUGGAGCUCGGAUCGACGUCGACUUCGCACUGGGGAACCGUUUGAGCACGCGAGCGUCGUAGUUGCAUCGUUGGGAGGCCGAGCGAGCGCGUGAUUCCUCUCCUGUUGACUUCUAGCCGUAGUUAGAUUAGCUUUCGAGGUGGGUUGAAGUUUACCAAAUUCUUUGAAUUUCCUCCUGAGCCUAGUUUGUUGUCAGCAUGUAUUUUUGGCUUCGUAUAUCAUGUUUAGUAGCUCGAUUCGUCGAUUUGCAUUGUUCUUAAAUGAAAUCUGAAUUGAAGCUUUAGUUUAUUAUACAUGUUGGACUUGGAUUUGACUUAGGAGAAAACUAUAGGUUCUACACUGUCAUUUUCUGAAAACUACCAAAUUUAACUUUAGGAGCUGUAGUUUGUUUCUAUCGUUGCAGUUUGUAGGCGGUAGAUACCCAGAAUAGUGUAAAAUGAAUUUACGUUCAUGUUGGAAUGCCGAGUUUAUUUUUACAGUAGUGUAUAGACUGUUCCGGACUGUCGGGUACCUUCGUGGUUGACGGUGGAUCUAGAUUUCUGUAUUUUGCACCAGAUUGUGCCGAGAGCACGUGAGGUAUGAUUGUUAGACCAGUUAGACCCUUCUGCUUUAACUAUAGCCUGUGAGAGCCUAAUUGAGCUCGGCAGAGAUAUGCUUGCAUACUAGGUUGGGUAGCGCCCACGAGUGCCACUCCGGAGUCGGGCUCUGUGCUUUUGCGUUGUUGUCGUUGUGUCCUGGUUGGACUCGCUCUCCACUGACGGCUCAGCGUAGUGGCAGUUAGUGUAGCUUCGACAGACGGGACAUGUGUGUUCACAGUCCCUAGUGAGAUUGGGUCAGAGUUUACAUUUUCUACAGAUAGUUAAUAUUGAUUAGCGAUAGUUUAGUGGCAUAUAGCUGUAGAGUUUUUCCAGCUUCCUUUACUAUCUUUGAGCAUACCUUCUAUAGACUUAGUGGGUGAGCCGUUGAGGUCGGUAGCGGUGUCCACUGAGGACUACUUCUUUUUGCAGUAGUUCUCACACCCAGUUGUUGACCCCUUUUUGCAGAGCCUCAUUCUUCGACUGCUGCUGUUGUUGAUUCUGAUCGUGAAAAGGGAGUCGCGAGCUAGAUCCCUUCCAGUUUUGUUGCUGUUUAGAGGAGUACCAGCUACAGGUAGUUUUGGGUUUCUGGGUCAUGUACAUACUGAUGUUAGAUCCUCGCAGGAGCGAGUGUUUUUGUAUCUGGAGAUUAUGUAUGUAUUGUGAACCCGAUACUUAUUUUUAUAUGUUACAGUUCUGUUAGCAGCUUUAUACUACUCGUUGUACUUUUGUAUGAUUACAGGUACAUAUACAGCUAUCUCUUCGUAUAUAGAAAAAAUUUUUUUGUAUACGGCGGAUUUGUCGGCGUGCCCAGGGAAACGAGUAAUCUGGGGCGUGAUAGAUUAAGCUGGUAUCAGAGCUUAAUAUUAGGUCGUUGGGAUUUAGGAACCCUAAGUUGGGUAAACCUUAGGAAGGGAAGACGCGAGAAGCGUGAUUUAUCGCGAAAGUUAGCGAUUGAACUGUUUUAACUUCUCCUAGAAUGGAGUGAGUGAUUGAAGGAGUGUCUGUUUCGACCAAGAAAAAAUUAUGUCGGCUGCAGACGGCAUAAUUUUGAGGAGAAACAGGGGCAGUCUUCUAGACUUUCGCUUGACUGUGUCAAGAGUGCUUGUGCUUUGUAUCUGACCCUUGUUUUGUUUUCAUGCAGCUAUGUAUCGACGUCGAGGUCGACCGCCGACCCGGGAUCGUGCCACACCACCUGAGAUGCCGAAGCAGGCAGGGCCGAGUGCACCCCCGGAUCUGAGAGAGCAGUUGGCUGCCCUGACUAACAUGACGAGGCAGCAAGGGGCAUUGUUAUAGAGGAUGUGCGAGACCUUCGCUCCGCCACCUAGUGUAGUAUCGAGAGCACCAGAGUAGUCAGCUCCACCCCCGACUACUCCUGAGGCUGCACCAACCGCAGCUGUACCCCUACCAGUGACAGUUCCUACGGCACGGGUUACAUUCUCUAGAGAGGCGUCACAAAUGUCUGAGGCCGAGCAGGAGCGGAUGACUCAAAAGCUUGCUCGUUUCCGCCGUUUUGAUCCGCCGACCUUUGACGGUAGCUACACGGAGCGCCCUGGGUUGUAGAGGGCUGGGUGAAUGCGAUGGAGAAGCUAUUUGAUGACUUGUUCAUACCAGAGAGGGAGUAGGUACACUUAGGAGUGCACUGCUUAGCUGGCGAUACGUAUUCUUGGUAGAGGAGGAUGAGACGAGAUCGAGGGUUGGUGGCAUUGCAGAUGAAGUGGGAUGAGUUCUGCGGAAUGCUGUACGGGGCGUAUUUCGCAAACAGCAUGAAGCAAAAGCUCGAGGAGGACCUGAAGAAGCCUCAGUAGGGGGAGCGAUCUGUUCAGGAGUACACCCGUGAGUUUACUUGACUCCUGAACUGUGUUCUAUUUGUAGCCAGAGACGAGGCCCACAGGGUAUAUCUAUAUGAGGGAGGCUUGAGACCAGAGAUCUUUUGGUUGGUGCAGGCGCAGAGGUUGAGGGCCUUGAAUGCAUUGAUUGAGGAGGCUUUAUAGGUGGAGAGAGGUGAUGUAUCGAUCCGCGAGCGGGCAGAGGUUCAGGUGCCGGGGUAGAGUCAGGAUAGGAAGCGCCCGGUUCCAGAUGACGGAGGAUAGUCGAGCAGCAGGCGUCCGCCGAAGCCUCCACGAUCACGCUCUCAGGGUCGUGGGUCUUCUGGGCGUUAGCGUUCUGGGGGACCUCGUCAGCAGAGGCAGUCACAGGGGACUCCGCAGUAUGUGAUUUGUGGGGGACCACACUGGCCCCGACAGUGUGAGCAGAGAGAAGGCCGGUGCUAUGAAUGUGGACAACCAGGGCAUAUGAGGGCAGCUUGUCCUCAAGCAGCAUCUCCAGCAUCAUCGACGGCGUCAGCACAGCCGGCACCUCAGCAGUCUUAUGGAGCACCACCGAGUUACCGCUAGGAUGACAGAGCGUUUGUGCCGCGGCAGGGUGAGCGGCGACAUCAGGCUUCGAGUGGCAGAGUGUAUACAACCCAGGUGGAGGACUCUACAGCAGCCGACCGGGUAGUGGUAGGUAUCAUUUUGAUUUUCGGUAUUUGAGCUCGUACCUUAUUUGAUACUGGUGCAUCACAUUCUUUUGUUAGCCGAGCAUUUGCAUCAUUGCAUGGUUUAGAGAUAGGACCGUUGUUGCAUGCAUGAGAGGUGCAGAUUUCUGACCAUACUUUGCAGGUAGCAGAGUGUUAUUGGUCGUGUUCAGUGCAGUUGGGCUCGUGGAUCAUUCCUGCAGACCUGUUGGCCUUAGGGCAGUUACAGGACUUCGAUGUAGUGCUUUGCAUAGAUUUGCUGGCGCGAUACUAUGCGACGAUCGACUAUGGAGCUAGGACAAUGACGUUCUGCGAGCCAGGCUGGGAGGAGUUCAUGUAUAGAGGCUGCAGGAGUACGUUGUUUGCCACUUGAAUUUCGUCGGCGAGAGCUCGACAGCUGAUGAGUAGAGGAUGCAUCGCUUUUCUGGCGACGGUUGUGGAGGUGUCUACGGCGGCGCCGGGACUCGAGGAUAUUCCUAUAGUCUGUGAGUUUCCGGAUGGUUUUGCCCCGGAGUUGACGACUAUGCCUCUAAAUAGAGAGAUUGAGUUUGUGAUUGAUGUAGUUCCUAAAACUGCACCAAUCUCAAGGCACCCUACCGGAUGACACCGGCAGAGCUGAGAGAGCUAAAGGCGCAGCUUCACGAUCUGAUGGAUAAGGGGUAUGUGAGACCCAGUGUAUCGACUUGGGGAGCACCGGUGUUAUUCGUAAAGAAGAAGAAUUGUUCACUCCGAUUAUAUGUGGAUUAUCGAGAGCUGAAUAAAGUGACCAUCAAGAACAAGUAUCAUUUGCCGCGCAUCGAUGAUCUGUUUGAUCAGCUGCAAGGAUCUUGUGUCUUUUCGAAGAUUGAUCUCCAGUCAGGUUACCACCAGUUGAGGGUGAGGGCCGAGAAUGUUCUCAAGACGGCUUUCCGGACUCGGUACGGGCAUUAUGAGUUUACUGUGAUGCUUUUUGAAUUGACGAAUGCCCCUGCCGCAUUUAUGGAUCUGAUGAAUAGAGUAUUCAAGCCAUUUUUGGAUAAAUUUGUAGUGGUUUUCAUUGAUGAUAUCUUGAUAUACUUCCUAAGUGAUGCCGAGCGUGAGGAGCACUUGAGGAUUAUGCUACAACUUCUGAGGGAGAAGAAGUUGUAUGCUAAACUGAAGAAGUGUGAGUUCUAGCUUCGGGAGGUUUCUUUCUUGGGCCAUGUGAUUUCUGCAGUUGGAGUAGCAGUGGACCCGAAGAAGAUUGAUGCUAUUCGGGAUUGACCCAGACCGACAACGACGGUUACCGAGGUGAGGAGUUUUCUUAGAUUAGCAGGAUAUUACCGUCGAUUUGUGGAAGGCUUUGCGAAGCUUUCCACACCCCUCACUCGAUUGACUCGAAAGUGAAUCAAGUUUAUCUGGAGUGAAGAUUGUCAGAGGAGGUUCGAUGAGUUGAGACAGAGGCUGAUGUCGGCUCCUAUCCUUACCCUUCCAGUGAUGGGGGAAGGAUUUGUGAUUUUCAGUGACGCAUCGCACAGCGGGUUAGGUUGUGUUCUGAUGCAGCAUGGUAAGGUAAUUGCUUAUGCUUCUUGGCAAUUGAAGGAUUACGAGAAGAAUUAUCCUACGUAUGACUUGGAGCUUACCGCAGUGGUCUUUGCUUUGAAGUUGUGGCGGCAUUACUUGUAAGGCGAGCACUGCGAGGUUUUCAUUGAUCAUAAAAGUCUCAAGUAUCUGUUCACACAAAAUGAAUUAAACUUGAGGCAGCACCGGUGGUUAGAGUUGUUGAAGGACUAUGAUAUUAGUAUUCUGUAUCACCCUGGCAAGGCGAAUGUGGUGGUAGAUGCGUUGAGAAAGAAGGCAGUGCAGAGCUUGAACAUGUUGAUUACUCAGCAGAGGCUGUUACUUGAGGAGUUGCAACAGUUGAGGCUCAAGGUAGUGUCCCCUGGGUCUACUGCAAGACUGAUGUUUUGGUCUUGCAGCCCACUUGUAAGGACUGAGAUUUUGAUAGUGCAACUAAACUCUCUGUUGACGAUGUUUAUGUGUGUAAUUUAAUUACAUAAGCAUUCGUCAAGUUUCAGGAGAAAAUGAGCUAGAAUGGAGAAGUUACGCGAUUAUUAGUUUUCACUUAAGUGAAUAGUAACUCCGGUUUUCCGGAGAAGCCACNGAAUGCUUAUAUAAUUAAAUUACACACAUAAACAUCGUCAACAGAGAGUUUAGUUGCACUAUCAAAAUCUCAGUCCUUACAACACUCUGUUGGACAGGAUCAGGGAAAAAUAGAGUGGAGACUCUCAUUUGUUGAGGAUUCGAGAGCAGUUAGAGAGGGGACAGGCAGAAGCUUUUUUUGUGGACAGUUCGGGAGUACUACGGUAUAUGGCCCAACUGUGUGUGCCUAUGGAUUCAGAGAUCCGAGAGGAGAUUUUGAGAGAGGCUCAUUACUCACCUUAUACGGUUCACUCCGGUGGAAUCAAGAUGUAUAAGAACUUGAAGGCACAUUCUUGAUGGAAUGGAAUGAAUUUAUGAUGUAUGCCCACCCAUCUGAGGAUGGUGUACAUCGUAUAUCUCUUUUGGGGUGUAUAAGUAGAGUUUUUCAAAAAAAUAAAACUCGAGUUCUAUAAAAUUUUAAUCUUAAAUAUCAAGACAUGAAAAAUUAGAGAAUAAAUUGUUGCUUGAUUCAUUAGAAAAUAAUGUUGAAAAUUUUUAGUUCUUCUAAUAUUAGGCACUUUAAAUAUUGUAAACCACAUAUGAUGAGUUAAAAUCUUGAAAUUAAAAAUUUUAAAAUAUUGAUUUAUAGGUAUAGUGUGUAAGGUAUACUUAUACAUUCGGUAAUUAAUAUAAAUUGGUCAAAUCAUAGUAAAUCUUUCUAUAUAUCAAUUUUUUUCAUUGUUCCUUUCUAACUUUCAAAAAUCUAUAUUUUACUCGCUUAAAAUUUUAGAAAUAUUUUUAGGAGAUACAACGUUAAUGGAAAGGGCAAAAUGACCAAAUUAUUCUUACUUUUUUAUAAAAAAUAAUUUUUUAAUAUAUAUCUGUCGUGUUGAAGGGUAUUUUCGGUAUAAAUUAUAAAAAAUUGGCGGAAUAGUGAUGAAAUCCUGACGGAGGUGGACUAAAUGUAACAACUUAAAAUGAUGGAAAUGUAAAAUAUAGAUUUUUGAAAGUUAGAUAGGAAAAGUGAAAAUAUAAGUAUUUAUAAGUGACUAAUGAAAACAUCCCACCCAUUGGAUGAGUAGAAUGUAUGAUGUACACUCUGAUUGAGGUGUAUAUAUAGUAUUGCUUUAAAUUUUAUGCUAUACUAUAUAAUUAUUGC